rnacentral:lncRNA from 10 species
GGGGCCCAGGGUGGAGAGCACGAGGGCCUGGCCCAGGCACGGCCGGCGCCUCCGCCCUCGAGGAGGGCGUCACCUCAGCUCCCCCCGGCGGCGGAGCCGGCGGGCUCAGGCGGGCGCGGCUGAGGGGAGCGGACCGCGGGGGGCGGGAGAUGACUGCGCCCAAGGCCUUUGCGGGCCUCAGCCGGCCCCAGAGGAAGGGGAACCCGUCGAGCGGUUUGGGAGGUUCAGGAAGCCAUUCGUUCUUUCGCGUCUGCGGUGCCCGGAGUGUGGUACUUCUCCUAGUUGCAGUCAGGCUUCAUACGCUAUUGUCCUGCCCGUUAGAGCAGCCAGCGGGUACAGAAUGGAUUUUGGAAGAGGGAGUCACCACUGGACCUCCAAGGAAGCCACGUGCAGACAUCUACAACCUUCGAUCUCCUGACGAGUUUAUUGUUGGCCAAAACCAGGCUUUGAUUGAACCAGGAUGAAUGCGGGUGUUGGAAGUAGAAUAUAUAUAUACAUAUAAAAUUGAAACUGGCGAUGGAAUAUGAGAGGAGCCCUCUGGAAAGAAAAGGACAGACCCUGUGCUUUCAUGAAAGUGAAGAUCUGGCUGAACCAGUUCCACAAGGUUACUGUAUACAUAGCCUGAGUUUAAAAGGCUGUGCCCACUUCAAGAAUGUCAUUGUUAGACUUUGAAAUUUCUAACUGCCUACCUGCAUAAAGAAAAUAAAAUCUUUUAAAUCAAAAUGCUGUUUUGUUUGGCCAUUGGAGAUAACCAUUGAACAGGGAUAACAAGUAGUAGUUAGGUAUUUGCAGUUUCAUUUGGUUUUAGUUUUUUGAGGGGAGAAUCACCCUAGUGGGCAGUUGGUUUCUGUGGGCAAAGCCUGCUUUCCACAGGUAUUGUGCCUCGUGAUUGGCUUCUGCAUUGGAAACCUAAGAAUAAGCAAGCACACUUGGGCCAGAAUUCAAAGCAGAGGGUCAAUACAGAGGUAUCUCACUUGUAUGCUUACACCUGCACAAGAUCGUGUAUGUUAAAUCGUGGGUAUUAGGCCUUAAUGGUUGCAUGAGAUGAGUAAGGAUGAUGUGGGCUAUGGUAUUUGUUUAUAAACUUCAUAGGAAAUUGCAAAAAUAGGCUGCAUCAUUUAUCAAUAUGUGAUGAUUUUUUAUUUAAAAUACACAGUGAAUAAUUUUUUAAGUAUCUUAAAAUCUCACCUCAAAGAUGGGACCUCUAGAUUUCUUUUUUUUUUCUGAGGCAGAGUCUCGCUGUGUCACCCAGGCUGGAGUGCAGUGGCAUGAUCUCAGCUCACUGCGAGCUCUGCUUCCUGGGUUCACAUUCUCCUGCCUCAGCCUCCCAAGUAGCUGGGACUACAGGUGCCCGUCACCACGCCCGGCUAAUUUUUUGUAUUUUUAGUAGAGACGGGUUUUCGCUGUUUUAGCCAGGAUGGUCUUGAUCUCCUGACCUUGUGAUCUGCCCACUUCGGCCUCCCAAAGUGCUGGGAUAACAGGCAUGAGCCACUGCGCCCAGCCUGGGACCUCUAGAUUUCUAAAAUGACUCCUGGUAUUGACUCAGAAUCCCCUCCCCUUGACUAGGCUGGACCUAGUGUAACUUCUGAGACUUGCUAGCUCUUUUUCUCAUUCUCCUUGGCUUGCUCACUUUUUUUUUUUUUUUUUGAGAUCUCAGCUCACUGCAACCUCCGUCCCCUGGGUUUAAGCAAAUUCUCCUGCCUCACCCUCCCGAGUAGCUUGGAUUACCACGCCUGGCUAAUUUUUGUAUAUUUAGUAGAGGGGGUUCACCAUGUUGGCCAGGCUGGUCUUGAACUCCUGACCUCAAGUGAUCUGCCUGCGUCAAGCCUCCCAAAGUGUUGGAAUUACAGGCGUGAGCCACCACGCCUGGCCUAGCUUGCUCACUUUUAAUUAAGCUGCCAUGUUGGGAGAGGCCAGCGUAGCAAUCAACUGAGGUUGAACCAUUAGUGUGGGAGGAGUUACCCAACAACCAUGUGAGUUUGUAAGCACGUCUUUCUGUAGCGGAGGCUUGUGAGAAACCCUGAGAGCGGACCCACCCAGAUUGUGCUUGGAUUUCUGACCUAUGGGAAAUGUAUUUCAAGCCACUAGGUUUUGAGAUAACUUGCUACAAAGCAGUAAAUUCACAACUCUAUAAUGCCCACUCUAAAGGUCCUGACAUGGGCAUCUCCAUUACCUAAGUCAACUGAUGCUACUUCAAUUUCUCCACGUAGCAUUUGAAGCGUUUAUGUCUGGCCCCAGCCUACAUUUUCAGACUUAUUUGUGCAUUUGACUUAACAUGUCCAAAACUAAAUGCCUGAUGCUUCACUCACCUAACCCCAUUCCCUGCAAGUCUGUGCUUCCUGCGAUCUUCCCUUCCCAGGUAUUGGCAACACCAGAAGUCCAGUUGGUCAGGAGCUGUGGAAUCAACCUCAUGUACCAUGUGAAUCCCUUGGCAAAUGCUAUUGGUUCUACCUUCAAAAUACAUCUGAAACCCACCCCCUCUUAGCGUCUUCAUUGCUACCACCUUGGUACAAACCAUCAAACAAGCUUGGAAUACUGGUCUCUACUUCAGCCUUUGCUCCCUACGAUCAAUUGAGAUGCAACCAGAGCGAUCUGUGAAAACCUGAAUUAGAUUUUGCCUGCCUGAGCUCCUCUAGUAGUGGCCACAAUUGCCAGAGAAGAUAGAGCAGGUCUCUCCCAGGACUUGCAGCUCCAGCCUGUGUCUGCAAGGGGUGUUGUAGCGACUGAUUUCUCCAGCCCAUGGCAAGAGGCCUUCAUCUUGUGCCUGGAAAGAGGGAAGUACAAGUCCGUCUGGCAGAGAUGGUGCAGAUGGGCAAGUUUUUCAGACACUGCAGCCAGCACUUCUGGGACCGCAGCAGUGGAGCCUGCAGAGGGCCGGUUCUCCAGGCAUGGGCUACUGACAUUGUCACUUCCAGACUCCUUAUGCAAUAAACAACCCCUAAACAGAUUUAUUCACAAUUUCUCCAUCCUAACAAGUCAGUGAUCAGUUUUCACUUUUCCACAUUCCCUUCUGUCCCCAUUAUGUUCCCAUAGUGGGGCAGCUUCUACCUGCAUGGUUGGAGCUUCCCAUUUUUAAAGAGGCAAGAAAUCCUUUAAAGUUCUUUGAAAUGUUUGUAGCCUGUUCCAAUUUUAUAAACUGUGAAGACUGAGCAACACACAAUGCAUGGGCCUCAUAUGGCCUGGAGGCCACCAGUUGGAGACCUCUGUAGCUUGAGCUGUGUCCCUUUCAGCACUGUUCUUGUCAUUCCUGAGCUGGGAUGCCCCCUGAAACAUAGGAUGCUCAGUUAAAUUUGAAUUUCUUUUUUUUUUUCCUUGAAAUGGAGUGUCGCUCUGUCGCCAGGCUGGAGUGCUGUGGCGUGAUCUCAGCUCACUGCAACCUCCACCUCCCUAGUUCAAGUGAUUCUCCUGCCUCAGCCUCCCGAGUAGCUGGGAUUACAGGCAUGCACCACCACACCCAGCUAAUUUUUGUAUUUUUAGUAGAGACAGAGUUUCACCAUGUUGGCCAGGAUGGUCUUGAUCUCCUAACCUCAUGAUCUGCCCGCCUCGGCCUCCCAAAGUGCUGUGAUUACAGGUGUGAACCACUGCGCCCGGCCGAUGGCAAUCAUUCUUUAAGAUGCAGCCUCCGUGGACCUCGUACCUUCUCAGUAAUUUCCAUAUUCUUUGCUGACUUGGGUUUUUCCUCCAAAAUUGUCUGGGAUAAAUUGAGGUUUGUGGAGUUUCCUGAUGGCUAGUUUCCAAACUGGCUUCAAAGCCUGGGCUUGUGGAAUUGGCUGGGUCUGCGGCCAGCCUAACCCAUCCUUCGGUCACAGUCUCCCAUGGUCCUGAUAUUAAUUCAUCACAGGUCUGUUUAGAAGGUGGCAGAAACAGACGGUCUUGGGCUUAUUUAUAUCUGUGGCUUUUUUUAAAAGACAGAAAAGGAGAAAUCUGGAUCCUUUCCUUGUCAGCCUCCUUUAACUAAAUGGUCUUUUGCUAAAAUAGACUGGCCCCACUGUGUGGGUAGGAAGGGUUGAGAUGGGAGUGGGCCAAGUGAGUGAGAACUUUUUUUUUUUGCCUUGAUGUUAAAAUGGCAGCAUGUGCAGUCUUCUGCCUCUGCCCAGGUUGACCUGAUGUUUUUACAGGGAGAGAGGCUGCUUGUUGAGUGUGGUGGUAUUUAUCAUAGUGUAUGUUAGGCUGCCUCAAACAUCCCUCGCUGUCGUACCUUUCAGCCAACUCUAAUGUACCUCUCUCAGCCUGAUUUCUCCCCACUUGAGUUAUAAUAACAACAACUGCCUUUUAAAAAAUUUCCUACUGGGCUUCAUGCUAGGUACUUUCCACGUUUUAUUUUUAUUUAUUUAUUUUUUGAGACAGAGUCUCACUCUGUCACCCACGCUGGAGUGCAGUGGUGUGAUCGCAGCUCACUGCAGCCUCAAACUCCUGGGCUCAAGCGAGCCUCCUGCCUCAGCCUCCCGAAUAGCUGGGACUACAGGUUUGUGCUACUGUGCCCGGCUAAUUUUUCUAUUUUUUUGUAGAGACAGUGUCUCCCUUUGUUUCCCAGGCUGAUCUCUCCUGGGCUCAAGCGAUCCUCCUGCCUCAACCUCCCAAAGUAUUGGGAUUACUGGUGUGAGCCACCAUUAUAUGUUUUAAAUAAUUUAUUCCUCACCUCAAGUGAGUGAGGUAACAUCCCAGUUUUACAGACAAGGAAACAGAUUGGGCAGGGGAAGUGACUUGCCUCAGAUGCACAAUAAAUGGCUCUGCCAGUGUCUUCCUUAGCGCCUCCGAUCCCCUUCUCACCCUUGUCCUCUCUGCUCCUCUCUGCUCAAUGCUCCUGGGAGCGUGAACUGCAUUAAUGGCUCCUUGUCUGGUGGCCUCAAGGUUCCCCAGGAGGCAGGGAGGGUGAGGCUGAGAUGUGUGCUCCCCUAAGGCACAUGCCUCAGCCUGGCUGCCUCUGUCUAAGGCCACAGCCCCUCAAGUGCUUCCCCACCUGACUUUCUGGGCUCUGGUAACCGCUUCCUGCCUGCCCCAUCAGGUGUAGGGGGUGCUUCAUGGGUCAACAUUAGCUUAUGUGGUUUCCUUAUAUCCUGGGCGCACCUUUGUUAGUCUCAAAUUACAUUCUGCUUGAACUAUUCUCUAUCCAGUGGGUUGUGACUAUCUAGAGGCAGAGUUGGGAUUUGAACCCCAAGACUUCAAAAUAAGCUCUGUGCAAAUGGCCUCCCAGAGCUGCCUGCUGGUUUCUUCUGCGAGGCCUGGCUUCUCCAUUUUGGCUUGGACCAUGGCCUGCUGUCAUUUCCACAACAGUUGCAGGAAGUUGCCAAAUGCGUUUUCUGUGACUGCCAGGCUGGUGACCCUGUUAAAAACAAAGCAACAACAAAAAAAGCAAUUUCUUCAAUUAAAAUUACAAAACAGAAAAAAAAAAAGAUGUCACACUUGGGGGAAGCUGGUUGAAGUGUACUUGAUAUUCUACAUACUAUUUUCGCAGUUCUCUGUGAAUCAAUAGUUAUUUCCAAAUAAAAUGUUAAAAAAAACUUUAUUACUAAAUCAGAAAAAAACAACAACAAACAACAACAAAAACCAAAGCAGAAUAUGUGGUGCACUGUUGAGGGAAGUACAGAAGGAU